AACACGUGAUGCGAACAGAUAUUUAUCAAAUCCUUGAACCUCUCCCAAUAUGCUUGGAAGGUCUCAUCAUCCUUCUGCAUAAACUAAACAAUAUUUUCUUGUAAAAAU